CCCGGUUGAUCCUGCCGGAGGCGACCGCUAUUGGAGUUCGAUUAAGCCAUGCGAGUCUAGAGGCUUAGGCCUCGGCGUACCGCUCAGUAACACGUGGAUAACCUGCCCUGUUCAGGGGGAUAACCUCGCGAAAGUGAGAAUAAUACCCCAUAGUUCACCAUGCCUGGAACGGUUGGUGGAUGAAAGCUCUGGCGGAACAGGAUGGGUCUGCGGCGUAUCAGGUAGUAGGGGGUGUAAUGGACCUCCUAGCCCUCGACGCGUACGGGUUGUGGGAGCAAUCGCCCGGAGAUGGAUUCUGAGACACGAAUCCAGACCCUACGGGGUGCAGCAGGCGCGAAAACUUGACAAUGCGAGAAAUCGUGAUCAGGGAACUCCAAUUGUCCCCGUUUUUACGGGGUUCUGAAUUGACUCUAAACAGGUCGAGUAAUAGGGGCGGGAAAUAUCGGUGCCAGCCGCCGCGGUAAUACCGAAGCCCCAAGUGGUCGUCGUUCUUAUUGGGCCUAAAACGUCCGUAGCCGGUUUGGUACAUUCGUGGGUAAAUCAGACAGCUUAACUGUCUGAAUUCUGCGAGCACGGCCAAACUUGAGACCGGGAGAGGUGUAGGGUACCUGCGGGGUAGGGGUAAAAUCCUGUCAUCCCGUAGGGACCACCAGUUGCGAAGGCUCUACACUAGAACGGAUCUGACGGUCAGGGACGAAGCCUAGGGGCACGAACCGGAUUAGAUACCCGGGUAGUCCUAGGUGUAAACGCUGUGGACUUUGUGUCGGGAAUUCUUCGAGGAUUCUCGGUGCCGGAGUGAAGAUGUUAAGUCCACUGCCUGGGGAGUACGGUCGCAAGGCUGAAACUUAAAGGAAUUGGCGGGGGAGCACUGCAACGAGAGGAGCGUGCGGUUUAAUUGGAUCAACGCCGGG
rnacentral:rRNA from 1 species